AUCACAGAGAUACAUAACAUACAUAUAUCCAUUGGGCCCCGCCCGUCAUCGGGCCUUGACCCUGAAAAACAUAUAAACACAACAAUUCCAAGAGUCACAAAGACAACUAGCAUACUAACAACAUAAUGUAAACAUGGGUCGGGCUUGGUGCCUUCGAUCUACUAAACCCGGUAAGGAAACUCACCUCGAAUGCUGAAAUAUAACUAGAUAAAUCCCCGUCCUCGGAAACAACUCUACUCAGCCCCUAAACAUAAACACUUCCUUAGAUACCGAUCCAUACUUCAAAAACUAUAAAAGGUCAAACUAUCGCUAGAAGGAAAGAGAGGAUGGUAAGUCCUCUGAAUUGAAUCAAGAGAUAUGACAGAUAUGAAAAUCUAUUAAGCGAUAAAGCAGGAAGGAAAUAUUCAAAGCAGAUAAACUAUCGCUAGAAGGAAUGAUUGAGGAGCAACGUUCGAAUGAGGAAUUCUACAACGAAGCUGGCUCUAGAAAUACUCCUAUAGUAUUUCAUGAUUCGCUGCGACGAUGGCUCGUUGUUUUGGGUAUUGGGUAAGUUUUAGGCAUGCUGAACACCACACUCACUCCCAAGCACAUGUUGGCCGUGUCUCGAAUGAAUAUAGUUGAUCAGGCUAUAUUGACCCUAGACACGACUACAUAACAGCCCAGGUUUAACCGUAGCGUGCAACACCCACUUACUUAUGUUUUUGUUCUACUCGUAGUUACGGAUUUCGACGGCUAGGUAUAUUUAUAUAUAUUUUUUUUGAAAAUACUUAUAUUUUGAAGUAUACUUUUAGUUCAGAGCACUUAGGUCCCUUAGUGUUUAUAGUCUUAUACCAUGUAAGGUUUGGUAUACUUGGUUCACUAUAAACAAGGGUUCUGAUACCAAUUUGUCACACCCCGAAACCUAGGGCGGAAACGUUCCGGGUCGUAGAUGACUUCAUGUUAAGUAUCAUAACCAAUGUACAUAGCAAGCGAAGUAAACAACCAUUACAUUACAUAAUAGAAUUUACAUUUGUUUAAAAGUAAAGACGUGUCUUCUAUGAACUCCAUCUUCGCCAAAAGGAUUGCUGAGUACCUGUCUAAUGCGGACCUGAGAAUACAAGCAGUUUGAAAAUCAGCAUAAAGCUGGUGAGUUCAUAAGUGUUUUGUUUUUCUGAAAAUGAACAUGUUUCCUUUAGUUUUCUGAAAAAGUUGUAUCCAAGAAAAUCCCAUAUUUUCUUAUUAAGACAGUUUAAUACGUAUAACUUUAGACUGAAAACCAUGGGAAUACCAUCCCGUAUCACAGUAGGUAGUUUUAAUACACAAAAUUAUAGAUUGAAAACCAUGGGAAUACCAUCCCGUACUAGAUAUAAGAUCUAUAGAUUGAAAACCAUGGGAGUACCUUCCCGUAAUAGAUCAAAGAUAUAUAUAAUAUCCGUGAAUAAACUAUGUUUUAAUACGUAUUGUGAGUCGGGUAACCAUGUUGAUAUGACAACGAGACCUCCUUGACGUUUUUCAGGCGUCGGACGAUAUCCGGAAUUUGUCACCCCAGGCGUGCCCGCCUAACUGUAGCUAGCAGUUAAGGUGUGGGAUUGUCAGUCCCGAAUAGAUCUAUUCACAAAUUCCACGCUCUCCCUCCAGGAGACUCUGGUUACACUUCCGGGGAGGAUUUAUUAAUGACCCGAAGGGUUUAAUGAAGAUAGUCUCACAAGCUAGUAUUAAAUUAUUCACGGUGUUCUCAAUCGUCAACAAACAUAAUAAUUGUUUCGAAACAUAAUAGAGUAUAAAUAGUAGAAUACAAAGAAACUAUUUGGCAUAAUACUUUACAUUAAACAGAGAUAAACUGAAUCAGACAUAGUUUAUCUAUUAACAUUGCAUGAAAUCCGAAUUCACAAAACGAGAGCUGAAGAUCCCAAAUUAUUCCCAUAAUAAUUUGAUUAGUUUGAUUGUUUCCUUUACUGAAAUCCAUGUGGUUAUAUUCGAUAAAACAUCCCUUAUGCUCCGCAUAAUACAUAAGGGGUAAAGAUAUCUAAAAGUUUGCCAGAUAUUUAUAGAAUUACAUCAAUUUUAAGUUUCGAAAACAUUUAUAGCUUGCUUGUAUUCCCCCCUGAAAACAUUGAAAAACACUGAAAAAAGGCGUAGGGGUAUGAACUCACCAGUCGAGGAACGUGUCGUCUAGGAUGCUAAGCGUCAAUUCGAGGCUUGAUUACACGCGAGGUUCCUAUGUAAUAUGAAAAGAUACACAUUUAUAUCUAAUUAGACCUUGAAUCACUAAUUAGAUGUGAUUAUACACUCCAAGACGCGAAAACACUUCAAAUCAAGUGUUUGGAGUGACCCGGGUGGCAUCUACGGACGUGUAGAGCAUAAAUAUGGAGUUUGCACUUCAAGAGUAAACCCAUUGGAGAGAUUACGGCCCUAAGACCAUGUCCCCAUGAGUUUAUGGUCAUAAACUCAUGGAUGGGGGUUCUAGGUUGCUAAAUGGCCUUAUAUCACUUGGGAAAAUUAGCUAGGAUCAAAUCUAAGGCAUAGAAAUGGAUUAAACAACCAAAGGGACCAUCAAAUGGAUUUUACGGCUGUGAACUAGGAGUUUACGGCUGUAAGCUCCUAAGUACCCUUUAUUUUCAUGAUUUGGUGGCCCUAGAUUAAUCAUAUGUGAUUCUAAGUCAUUUCACAAGCCAUAGAAUGAAUUUAGGGCAUCAUUUGACUAAGGUAUAUGAGUUUACGGCCCAGGAACUAUCCUUGGGGGGUUUACGGUUGUAAGCUCUUAUAGGAGUGGUUUUUAUCAAGUUUAAGGCCCCUAACUCGUUUGUGGUUGCUUCUAGACUUUAUUCCAAGGCUUAAGAGGUGUUUAAGUGACAUCUUAACACUUUAAAAUGAGUUUACUGCCCAUGAAUUGGUGUUUACGGUCCAAGCAUGUUCUUGGUCCGUAAACUCUCAUUUACCCCCUAAAUGAUGAGUUCAAGGUGUUCCAAGUCCAUUCGAUUAAGUCCUUAUGUCAUUUCUAAGCUCCAUGAGUGGUUUAAGAGGGUUUUUAGGCUCCAAAACCCAUUUUAUAUGUGUUCACGGCCCAUGAAUGUUCCAGGGCCGUAAACACAUGUUUAUGGUCCCAAUACAUAGUUUGAACACGGAUUUGAAGGUUGAAGAGGUUAUACAAUGAGUUAGGAUGAUUACCUUGAUGAUUUGGAGCUUGAAUUGGAUGAUUUUGGACCAAGAAUAAGAUUGUAGAUAGAGAGUAGUGAGAGAGGGUGCAAAAGCUUCAAAAUGAAGUCAAUUGAGCUUUAUAUAUGGUUCAAGUUUUGGACACGGUGGAAUUCUACCCGAUACUGACGUUAUACGAUGCUUUUGGUCGCACCCGAUAAAGUUGCCGUAACCCGAUAUGGUCGAAACUAAAAUUUUUCUAAUUGUUAAUUUGGAAUAUUUUCUUGAGUUAUUAUCGUGUUUGAACACCCAUUAAUUCAUAAUAAACGACUCAAAUUUAAUGAAUUAAUUUAAUAACGAAACGGAAACAAUUCGAAAACGACGAAUUUUAUUGACGGAACGGGUUACAAUGACGGGAAGAAUUUUAGGUUGUCACAGCAUACUAACAACAUAAUGUAAACAUGGGCCGGGCUUGGUGCCUUCGAUCCACUAAACCCGGUAAGGAAACUCACCUCGAAUGCUGAAAUAUAACUAGAUAAAUCCCCGUCCUC
rnacentral:lncRNA from 1 species